rnacentral:rRNA from 1 species
AUAUCACGUUCUAUUAAAACGUGUUUAUUCUUCCCUAAUUUACGAAGUUUACAUCCCGAAGGAUUUCAUCCUUCACGCGGCGUUGCUGGGUCAGGAUUGCUCCCAUUGCCCAAAAUUCCCCACUGCUGCCUCCCGUAGGAGUCUGGCCCGUGUUUCAGUGCCAGUGUGGCCGACCACCCUCUCAGGCCGGCUACCGAUCGUCGCCUUGGUGGGCCUUUACCUCACCAACUAGCUAAUCGGCCGCGGACUCCUCUGCAGACGUGAGGCCUUGCGGUCCCCCACUUUGAUUGACAGAGGCUGCCCCCCAUCAAUGUUAUGCGGUAUUAGCUUUCCUUUCGGAAAGUUAUUCCUCAUCCGCAGGUAGAUUAUCCACGUGUUACUCACCCGGACGCCACUCUACUCAGGGUUGCCCCCUUUCGCGUUCGACUUGCAUGUGUUAGGCACGCCGCCAGCGUUGAUU